AGUGGGAUAACUGGGCCAAAUGGUGGUUCCAUUCAAAUUUUCUAAGGAAUCUUCAUAUUGCUUUCCAUAGUGGUUGCACCAACUUGGAUUCCUAUCAGUGAU
rnacentral:pre_miRNA from 1 species